rnacentral:rRNA from 1 species
GAUGAACGCUGGCGGCGUGCCUAAUACAUGCAAGUCGAGCGAACGGACGAGAAGCUUGCUUCUCUGAUGUUAGCGGCGGACGGGUGAGUAACACGUGGAUAACCUACCUAUAAGACUGGGAUAACUUCGGGAAACCGGAGCUAAUACCGGAUAAUAUUUUGAACCGCAUGGUUCAAAAGUGAAAGACGGUCUUGCUGUCACUUAUAGAUGGAUCCGCGCUGCAUUAGCUAGUUGGUAAGGUAACGGCUUACCAAGGCAACGAUGCAUAGCCGACCUGAGAGGGUGAUCGGCCACACUGGAACUGAGACACGGUCCAGACUCCUACGGGAGGCAGCAGUAGGGAAUCUUCCGCAAUGGGAGAAAGCCUGACGGAGCAACGCCGCGUGAGUGAUGAAGGCCUUCGGAUCGUAAAACUCUGUUAUUAGGGAAGAACAUAUGUGUAAGUAACUGUGCACAUCUUGACGGUACCUAAUCAGAAAGCCACGGCUAACUACGUG